CUACGUGCCAGCAGCCGCGGUAAUACGGAAGGUUCGGGCGUUAUCCGGAUUUAUUGGGUUUAAAGGGAGCGUAGGCCGGAGAUUAAGUGUGUUGUGAAAUGUAGACGCUCAACGUCUGACUUGCAGCGCAUACUGGUUUCCUUGAGUACGCACAACGUUGGCGGAAUUCGUCGUGUAGCGGUGAAAUGCUUAGAUAUGACGAAGAACUCCGAUUGCGAAGGCAGCUGACGGGAGCGCAACUGACGCUGAAGCUCGAAGGUGCGGGUAUCGAACAGGAUUAGAUACCCUGGUAGUCCGCACAGUAAACGAUGGAUGCCCGCUGUUGGUACCUAGUAUCAGCGGCUAAGCGAAAGCAUUAAGCAUCCCACCUGGGGAGUACGUCGGCAACGGUGAAACUCAAAUGAAUUGACGGGGGCCCGCACAAGCGGUGGAGCAUGUGGUUUAAUUCGAUGCAACGCGAAGAACCUUACCUACUCUUGACAUCCAUGGAAUCUUGUAGAGAUACGAGAGUGC
rnacentral:rRNA from 1 species